rnacentral:rRNA from 1 species
UGGAGAGUUUGAUCCUGGCUCAGGACGAACGCUGGCGGCGUGCUUAACACAUGCAAGUCGAGCGGUAAGGCCCUUCGGGGUACACGAGCGGCGAACGGGUGAGUAACACGUGGGUGAUCUGCCUCGCACUCUGGGAUAAGCCUGGGAAACUGGGUCUAAUACCGGAUAUGACCACGAAUCGCAUGGUUUGUGGUGGAAAGGUUUACUGGUGCGAGAUGGGCCCGCGGCCUAUCAGCUUGUUGGUGGGGUAACGGCCUACCAAGGCGACGACGGGUAGCCGGCCUGAGAGGGCGACCGGCCACACUGGGACUGAGACACGGCCCAGACUCCUACGGGAGGCAGCAGUGGGGAAUAUUGCACAAUGGGCGAAAGCCUGAUGCAGCGACGCCGCGUGAGGGAUGACGGCCUUCGGGUUGUAAACCUCUUUCGACAGGGACGAAGCGCAAGUGACGGUACCUGUAGAAGAAGCACCGGCCAACUACGUGCCAGCAGCCGCGGUA